CUGCAUGUGGGAAUGUCUGUUUUUUAUUCAGUUAAGAGGAUGAAUACAUCUAUAACAUGCUAUGUUAAAAGAAGAAAUCUUAGGAGGGCCAGGCUUAUGAUAUAAUUGAGUAGAAGUCUCCUACAUAA
ensembl:snoRNA